CUCCCAUAAGACUGUGACUCUGUACAACAAUUUUGUGUUUGAUCCUUGUGUAGGAACAGUCCUUUUGAACGACAGCAUCUUUAGCAGACGAUUUAAUGCAGCGAUUUUUUAAAGCAAAGAAACUAACUGAAAUGAUGUUGAGGUAUGAUGCUGUGCUGUCAGAGCUGCCAUGGAAAUUGCUGGCGCCUAGGGGGACAGCUGUGUUAACCUUUGGACACAAGCUCCCCAACGAAGACCUGAAAGUGCUGAGCACUGGGGCAUGUCAGUGUCUUAGCUGAGGAUGAGCUGCUUGUAGUGGAAGAUGGCACUGGCUCAUAGAUAGUGGCAGAGGAGCUGAACCAGCCCCUGCCUGCUCCCUUCAGGCACACAGCUGUAGUACUGCUUUAUAUUUUCUUCAUCUCCAGCCCUUCAUUCUCAGUGGCUGGGGACACUGGGAAUGGCUUCACCAGUUGGGAGGAAGGCAAGGACAGCAUUAGAUGCUCUAUUAUUUUCCCUCUUCUCGCAAGAAUGUCUUACUGGGAACAUAUGUACAUAUUU
rnacentral:lncRNA from 1 species